CAAGUACUCCCUCCGUAUGAAAAUACUUGUCAUCAAAAUGGAUAAAAAAGAUGUAUCUAGAACUAAUAUACAUUUAGAUACAUCCCCUUUUAUUCAUUUGAUGACAAGUAUUUCCGGAUGGAGGGAGUACUAC
rnacentral:pre_miRNA from 1 species